rnacentral:lncRNA from 1 species
AGAGGCUAUCGAAAGUUUGCCUGCACCUCCAGAAAUCAAGGAUCCAUCGCAGAGGCACAGAGGAGAUGUUAGUUACUUUAUUUGCACAAGACCUGGGAGAGGUCCAGUUGUGCUGUCAGAUGAAAGUCAAUUUCUUCUCGACCCUGAAACUGGGUUGAAGAAGUAAGUUCAGAAGCAUUAUCUUUCUUUCACGGUGUUCUGUUCCUUCUCAGGCCAAUUCAAAUGGCUGUAUGAGCCAGAAGUAAUUCGUUUCGGAUGAUCCUUUUAGGCUGAACCCAAGAAAUGCCUUAAAAUGAUUAUCUGAGUUCAUCGCAGUUGGACAGUUUCUGUUGCUUGUUUCAUGUAUCUGUAACUUGCUUUUUGCUGUUUUAAGCCAAUUAUGGUCUUUGUACUCAUUGUCUUCAGCUUCUCGUGAUCUUUUGGCAGCAUCGCCUGCAACUUCUCUAUCUCUCUUUCUCAAUCUCGUCAAGCAUUUGAACAUAAUGGCCAAAUUUCAUUGUAAAUUAAUUACGUGCCACAGCAUGUCAUGAUGAAAUAAACAGCAGUGAUUGGUGCAGUAAACCCUUUUAAUGGUUCCAUAUAUCAGUCUGGUCUUUCAUAAUCUUUUCUAUGAUGAUAGAAUGCAGCAGGUUUCAAUAUUUUCUGCAUGAUACAUUAACAUCUUCAUUUUCAAUGUGAUAAUGUUAUGUUCAUUGCUUUAAAAGAAAUGAAACUUCCCCAUUUUGAAAGAAAUGAAACUUCCCCAUCUUCAUUUUAGAUGUUUUUUUAAUGACUUUUUUUGUGCUACCAGGAGCAGAAACUGAGUGGGGAAAUUUGAUUAAAAGACCAUUCAUUCGGGUUCCUGAGAUUGGAAAUGGGAAGUCUUUUCCUUACUCGAUUUCAAAUCUAUGUUUGGAACAGCUAGCCAAUAUGCUACUGAAACCUCAACUUCUUAAUCAUGCUGGAACUUUAGCUGCUCUACAAACUAGCCCACGGCCUAUGCAGCCGCCUUUGGAAUCAUUACUUUACCACUCCCAACAAACUGAUAUGCCUCAUUCAGAUUUCAAUAGCAGAAAUGGUUCGCUUCCAUUCCUAGACAAUGAUGAAUGCAUAUUUUUCCAGUCUUGUCAACCCUUUGCUGGGUGUUGAAAUAUAAGUAGUCAGCUGAUAGAAAAUGUAACUAAACCUAUUUAGCUAAUGGUGUAUUCACUUAGUCACUAAAAUGACAGGUGUUAGGCUUGAGUAGUGAAAGGCUGUACAAGCCACGUGUAAUGUUUCUAGAAAGCAGUUUUAGAUGAAGGGCUGUGAUACAAAGCAUGUAAUUGUAUCCAGCUGGUCUUUCUAACUAAAAUAUAGCACACACAGAGUCUGCUCUUUUCGAUUAGAGUAUUGAAAUACAAAGCUUCUGUUGAAUCGAUUCUUUGUGUAUUCUCUUUGCUCUCUCCACUAUUCUUCACAAAACUCGAACAUGGCCUCAGAGCCAGGUUGGAUCAUUUAGAUCUAGGCGUAAUCUGUGAAGUCACUGAGCUCAAUUGAAGCUCACCUGAAGCUCUGUUAAGCAUCUGAGAAGAGAAAUUAAUUGAUUUGAACCAAAAGAUGUCUGGGUCUGGAGGCUCGGAGGUGAGGACGCCAAUUUUCUCCGGUGAGAACUACGAGUUCUGGAGGAUUAAGAUGGUAACGGUUUUCAAAUCUCUUGGACUAUGAAGUCUGGUAGAAAAGGGGAUUCCAACCCUGAUUCGAAGAAGAAGAAGAAAGCUGAAGAGUCAUCGGAAGAAGAAGCUGAUGCAGAGAUGAUCGUUGUGCUCAUGAAGGAUUGCCAACGCCGACUCAGCCAAAAUGGCAUGGAAUCUGCUCUAUAGUGAAUAUCACGGUGGUGAUCAGAUCAGGUCAGUGAAACUUCAAAAUCUCAGAAGUGAAUUUGAAUCUAUGAGAAUGCGUGAGAAUGAACCUCUAACUGCAUAUCUCACCCGGUUGAAUGAAUUGAUAAAUCAAAUGAAAACAUUUGGAGAAGUGCUAUCAAAUGAAAGGCUGGUUCAGAAAGUGUUAAUUAGUCUUAGUAAAGUAUAUGACCCUAUCUGCUUAGUGAUUGAAAAUACAAAGAGUUUGGAGACUAUUGAAUUGCAGGAGGUCAUUGCAAUUUUGAAGAGCCAAGAGCAGCGUUUUGACAUGCAUAAUGUGGACACAGCUGAGAAGGCAUUUGGCUCUUUCUCAGUCAAUACACAAGGGCAGAACAAGAAUAGUACUCAAACUGGUUCUGCUAAGUCUCAGAAAAAUUGGAAGUCUAACAACAAACCAUGGGAGUCUAGACCUAAGCCACAACAAGCUGGUGCUGCACAGAACUCAAAUGGAUCACAAUAUGUGCAUCAAGAUGGAGUGAAGCCUCAAUGCAAAGUAUGCUCUAAAUUUCAUUUUGGAGAAUGUCGAUAUAAGGGUCAAUCUAAGUGCUAUAAGUGUGAUAGAUUUGGACAUUAGGCUAGGGACUGUACUGCAAACAAAGGAGUACAGAAAGCAAAUAAUGUAAGCCAAGUAGAAGUAAGGGGAAAUUUGUUUUAUGCAAACUGUGCAAUCUCAGAGAAGAGUGAAAAUGGAGAGUAGUAUAUAGACAGUGGUUGUAGUAACCAUAUGACUGGGAACAAGGAGCUGUUAAUUGACAUAAACACAAAUGUCACAGGCAAGGUGCAAAUGCCAACAGGGGAGCUUGUAGGUAUAACUGGUAUGGGCACUUUAGUACUUGACACAGGGUCUGGUACAAAGUAUAUCAAAGAAGUCAUGUAUUUGCCUGGUUUGAAAGAAAAUCUGUUGAGUGUAGGCCAAAUGGAUGAACAUGGUUAUCAUUUGGUGUUUGGAAGCAGCAUGUGCAAUAUUUUUGAUGAUUAUUCACUGGAGAAUCUUGUCAUGAAGGUGGCAAUGAGAAAGAACAUAUGCUAUCCAUUGUCACUAUCUUCAAAUGACUUUAUUGCACUAAGAGCUAGUGUGUCUCCAUCUACCUGGAUUUGGCACAAAAGAAUGGGGCAUUUACAUUUAAAAGGGCUAAACCAGCUCAAGGAAAAGGAGAUGGUGCAUGGUUUGCCGCAUUUGGAAGCUGCAAAUGGAGUCUGUGAAGGCUCAGUUUGGGAAACAACAUAGAGAAUGGUUUCUAAAGAACCAAGCAUGGAGGGCAAGUACUCCUUUUGAGUUAAUAUACAUGGACUUGUGUGGGCCUAUGCAAAAUGAGUCAGUUGCAGGUAACAAAUACUUCAUGCUUCUCAUAGAUGACUGCACAAGAAUGAUUUGGGUCUAUUUCCUUAGAUACAAGUCUGAUUCACUAAAUUGCUUUAGAAAGUUUAAGUCUAUGGUAGAGCUGCAGAGUGGUUUUAAAGUAAAAUGUGUAAGAAGUGAUAAAGGAGGAGAGUUUACAUCUAGUGAAUUCGAUAAGCUGUGUGAAGAGGCAGGAAUUCAAAGGCACUUUUCUAUGGCAUAUACUCCACAACAGAAUGGAGUGGUAGAAAGGAAGAAUAGGACGGUGGUAGAAAUGGCAAAGGCUAUGUUACAUGAGAAGGAGCUACCCUACUAUCUGUGGACAGAAGUUGUACACACUGCCGUGUACAUAUUGAAUAGAUGUCCUACCAAGGCACUCAGAAACAAAACUCCUUUUGAAGCUUAUAGUACAAGGAAACCAGGUGUUGCUCAUUUAAAAGUGUUUGGCAGCGUCUGCUUUGUACAUAAACCAGCUGAAGGGAGACAGAAAUUGGAUGCCAAGAGCACAAAGGGAGUGUUUGUUGGUUAUGCGACUUGUGAAAAGGGUUAUAGAGUUUUUGACCCUUUCACUAAGAAGCUCUUAUUGUCAAGAGAUGUUGUAUUUGAUGAAGGAGCAACCUGGAAUUGGAAGGAAGUGGCUGAGAAUCAAGUGCAAGUGAUGAACUAUGAAGAGCAGCCUAGGAAUUCUGAAGCAACACCAUUUGAAACAUCUGUAGGAAAUCAGAAUCAUGGUUUCAUGUCAGGAGAAAGUGUUUCACAAGGAUAAUCAAAUAAAAUAGGCAGCAGAGUAGAAGACACUCAAAGUUUUGAUCAUACUCCAUUGAAAUGGAGAAAGCUGGAUGAUAUUUUAGCACAAUGCAAUCUGUGCAUUAUGGAGCCUAAGAAAUUUGAUGAAGCUGUAAAGGAUGAGUCAUGGAUAAAGGCAAUGAAAGAUGAGUUGUCAAUGAUAGAGAAGAAUGCUACAUGGGAGCUUGUUGACAGACCUACGGAAAAACCAGUUAUUGGAGUUAAAUGGGUGUUUAAAACCAAGUUAAAUCUGGACGGUUCAGUGCAGAAAAAUAAGGCAAGGUUAGUGGCUAAAGGAUACUCUCAGAAACCAGGGGUAGACUACAAUGAAACAUUUGCACCUGUGGCUAGAUUAGACACAAUCCGAACUCUAAUUGCAUUAACAGCACAGAAGAGUUGGAAGCUGUACCAAUUAGAUGUUAAGUCAGCUUUUCUAAAUGGCAUCUUAGAAGAAGAAGUGUAUAUAGAUCAGCCGGAGGGAUUUGUGGUGAAGGGGAGUGAAAGCAAGGUUUACAAGCUGCACAAAGCUCUAUAUGGCUUGAAAUAGGCACCAAGAGCUUGGUAUAGUGAAAUUGAUGGUUAUUUUGCUGAGUGUGGUUUCACAAAGAGUCAAAGUGAGGCUACCCUUCAUGUCAAGACAAGAGGUGAAGCAAGCAUCCUGAUAGUGUCUAUCUAUGUAGAUGACAUAGUCUACACUGGAAAUAACCAAGCAAUGUUGGAAGAAUUCAAGCAAGAUAUGAUGGAGAAAUAUGAGAUGACAGAUUUGGGACUCUUGCACCAUUUUUUGGGGAUGGGAGUGACUGUAAACCUGUGGCUAUCCUUCUUGUUCCAACUGAAAAAUUAAGUAAGGAUGAUGGGAGUGGUUCCACAAAUGAGGAGCAAUAUAGAAAGAUCGUUGGAAGUCUGCUGUAUCUCACAGCUACAAGACCUGAUAUUAUGUUUGCAACUAGCUUGCUUGCAAGGUUUAUGCACUGCCCCACCACCAAACAUCUUGGAACAGCAAAACGGGUUCUUAGAUAUGUGAAAGGAACACUUGACUAUGGUCUGGAGUAUGUGAAGGGAAAAGAGGCAGUUCUAAUUAGCUAUUGUGACAGUGACUGGAAUGGCUCAGUGGAUGAUAGCAAGAGCACUUCUGGAUAUGCAUUUUCUUUUGGAAGUGGAGUGUUUGCUUGGGCUUCAGUCAAACAGAACUGCGUUGCACUCUCUACUGCAGAGGUAGAAUACAUUAGUGCCUCUGAAGCAACAACACAAGCUAUUUGGUUGAGAUAUGUUUUGGAAGAUUUCGGAGAAUUUCAAACAGAGGCCAUACCACUAGACUGUGAUAGCAUCUCAGCUAUUGCCAUUACAAAGAACCUUGUGUUCCACCAGAAAACCAAGCAUAUUGAUCGAAGGUACCAUUUUAUUAAAGAUGCUUUGCAAGAAGGAAUUGUGGAUUUGAUCUAUUGUCCUACGAAUGAGCAGCUAGCAGACAUUUUUACAAAGGCUCUAGCUAAAGAUCGUUUAUGCUAUCUUAGAGAGAAGCUCGGUGUGAAAUCAGCUCACAACUUAAAGGGGAGUGUUGAAAUAUAAGUAGUCAACUGAUAGAAAAUGUAACUAAACCUAUUUAGCUAAUGGUGUAUUCACUUAGUCACUAAAAUGACAGGUGUUAGGCUUGAGUAGUGAAAGGCUGUACAAGCCACGUGUAAUGUUUCUAGAAAGCAAUUUUAGAUGAAGGGCUGUGAUACAAAGCAUGUAAUUGUAUCCAGCUGGUCUUUCUAACUAAAAUAUAGCACACACAGAGUCUGCUCUUUUCGAUUAGAGUAUUAAAAUACAAAGCUUCUGUUCAAUCGAUUCUUCGUGUAUUCUCUUUGCUCUCUCCACUAUUCUUCACAAAAACACUGGGACACUUAGAUCACUGGGGCUUUUGUCUGUGUUUGAUUUGCAAGAUUCUUCAGCUGCAGCUCACUUCAUCCCAUCGAGAUCCAGGUAGCCUUAAUUGUAUUUCUAACUCAAGCAGUCUGAGACAUUUCUCAGAUGAGAGCAACAAUCAAAGUGGGACUGGAUGAGAUUUCUACACUAAAGAAAGCAGAUUUUCACAACCCCUCAGAUUGCUUGGUUGGUAACCUGAGCUCGAGCCAGGAUCUUCAGUCUCAGUGUACCUCUGCCAGCCUAGGCGACUCCCAGGCUUUCUCCAGGCAAUACCUGGCAGACAACUCAGGUUUGCAACUAGGAUGCAUUGUUGAGGUGUUUCUCGCUUGAUGGUGCCUGAUAUAUUGAUCUUAUUGUGCAUUCAGAAAACUCAAGCUAUCUUAGUUGAUCUUAUUGUACAACAUUUGUGUUUGAUGUACUUCCGGUCUCUGAAAGAGGUUAUAAAACUAAAUGGUUUAUUUAUCCAUACUUUUCCUGGCUUAAAAAGCCUGAGGCCACAGAAUUGAAAUUACCAGUACAAAGAUAUUUGAUAACUGAUUCUUCAACUUCUUGGAGGAAAACCCAGACCAUGCUAACAAGCUAGGAUCAGAGAAGGUCAUACAUAUUUGGAUGCUAAAAUACAUCAAAUAUUGAAUGCCUUAAUACAUUCAAGAAUACACUAUGAUUCUUUCAUUUCCUAACAAGUCAUUGUCCAGAGAACAGAACAGCUAAUAUCUCCUAAAAUAGAAAUCAAGAAAUAAAGUAGCUUUUAAAUUACAAAACAGAUUCUACCUCCAGCUUGCUUGCAGUCAGGAAAAUAAGCAAUUGAUGACGCCCUUAUUGCGACCUUGAAGGAAUUUCAUGAAGAUGUUAAAAAGUAAUUAAGCCACACAAAUUUUGUGCACUUAAUGUCAAAAAUUAGCUCAAGUAAUUACAAGAUAUUCACAUUGAAUCCAUACAGAAAAACCAAAAGCAGCAGAUGAUACACACAUCAAGCACGUCUCUUACGAAGAUGCCAAGAGUUAGGUUCAUGGUAUCUAUCAUAUAGCAGUUCAAUAUGUUCUUGAUGCUUGCGCUUGCUCAUCUUGGUGGGAUCUGCCACUUUGAAGAACCUGUGCCAGUUCCACGAGCCAUUGGGGUCGACGACCGUCACCUCGCGCAUGUACUCCUUUGUGGUCAUAACCAGCUCAUGGUAGAUCACCCAAGCUGGUUGUCUCUGGAAGACGGCGCUGCUUGGGUGUAUAUAAACAGGUUGGUUCUCCACUAGGGUUUUAUACACAAACUUAUGCUAGGUUUUUAUACACAAACUUAUCCUAGAGCUUACAUUGGCAUGUCAAUCAAUGAAAACUGUUAAAGGCGAUGGUAGGAUGUGUAAUAUGCCAUCUGAAUUUCCAUAUCAACUUUUAAAACAGUUUUGCCAAGAAAAACAAUUGCGGUAUCAAAAUGCCUAACAUGUCCGCACAAGAGAGCCCAUUUGAAGAGCAUAUACUGGCAAUUUAGCUAUACACAAAAGAGUAGCUAUAAUUUAUAAAGAUACUAUACUUAACCACUGAAAAAAUGGUGGAAAAAAGCACUUCUGCUAAUAAUGCUCUGAAAACAGUGUAUGUAGUAACAUCAACAUGACAACUCGUAAUGACCUAUUCGCUGCUCAGGUACCAUAUAUCUAGAUUUUAAAACCCAAACUAGGCCUGAACAACAUUUCAACAUUUCCAUCAAGUACAGACAGCAAAAGGCAUGCCUAAUCCACGACUACUGCAAAAAUACAAUGUACCAAACAUGAGCAAACCUAGAACAUUAAUCUACAUCUUUUAAAACCAUUCAUGCACAUGUGAAACCAGAAAAAAAGAUGCAUGCAACCAUGAAUAACAACGCUUUUUCCGGAAAAAUUCCCAUGACAAUAGGCUCUUUAUUUCAAAUGCAAACUUUGAAAUUAAGAAGUAACCAAUUUGUUGGAGAAUUGCCUUCAUCGUUGAAGAACUGCGCAAGUUUAGAAGUUAUUGAUCUGGGAUACAAUAAAUUAUCAGGACCAAUACCUACAUGGUUAGGCGUGAGCUUCAAGAAUUUGGUUGUCCUGAUGCUUUCCACCAAUCAAUUCAAUGGAAGCAUGCCCUCACAAUUAUGCCAUCUAACACACAUUCAAAUUAUGGAUUUCUCUAUGAACAACAUCUCUGGAAGCAUACCCAAAUGCCUCAACAAUUUGACUACUCUGGCUCAAAAAGGAAAUCCAAGUCUAUCCAGCACACAUUCUUAUAUCAGAGUUAUGGUAAUAACACAGCUGCUGGUGCUAAUUAUGAGGAUGAUGCAAGCUUCAUAUGGAAAGGAAGAAUGCAGACAUACAAAAGCACUUUGGGACUUGUGAAGAGAAUUGAUCUCUCAAGCAAUAGAUUAACAGGGGAGAUUCCAAGUGAAAUCACUCAUCUUGUUGAGUUGAUUUCUUUAAACCUUUCAAGAAACCGGUUAACAGGUCAAAUAACUCCAGAGAUUGGAAAUUUGCAGUCAUUGGAUUCUCUUGAUUUGUCAAGAAACCGGAUAGAUGGAAGAAUUCCGACAAGCCUUGCUCGGAUAGAUCGUCUUAGUUUCUUGGACUUGUCAUAUAACAACUUGUCUGGCAAAAUACCAACAGGCACUCAGCUCCAAAGCUUUGAUCCCCUUGAUUAUGCUGAAAAUCCUCUACUAUGUGGACCUCCACUUAAAAAGAUGUGUGCUGAUCAAAAUGAGCAAACUGGCUUGAGCAAUGAAGAGGAUAAGGAUGAGUUUAUAACAUUGGGAUUUUACAUCAGUAUGGGGAUUGGGUUUGCUGCUGGAUUUUGGGGAGUUUGCAGCACUUUGAUAUUCAACAGGCCAUGGAGAUAUACAUACUUCAAGUUCUUGAAUCAUUUAAAUAAUUGGCUUUAUGUGAAGAUAGCUUUGAUCAAGCGGCAACUAAAGCUAGCAUAUGCCUAAUAGAUAAGCUCGCAACGGUACUCUUUCUCUCUCAUCGUUAAUUUGGUUUUAUAAUUAUUUUCUUAUUGCAUUUUUUCUUUUCUCCAAAUUGACGGGUAUUAAUUUGUUUACUUUGAUAUUUAGCUGCAGCAUCUAAAUUAGGAGAAAAGUAGCUGUAGCUGAAUGCCUCCUUUCAGUUCAAGUGUUGAAGAUUGCCAGUACGCGCACGCAUAGGUAUCUGGAGAAGAGUUUAUGAGUUAAUUUGGAGUGCUCAGUAGGAAUAAAUAUGAGUUAUAUUAGUGUUAAUUACUUGUCAAAAUAAUUAAUUCAGAGUUCUCCGAUUAUUAUUAUUAUUAUUUUUUGUUUGUUGAGAGAAAUAAACAUAUCGAUUUUAAUCCAAUCUCACUCCGAUUAAUGUAUUAAUUCCAGCUAUAGUGUUAUUUUAAUUAACUAAACCAAAGCCAAAGCAGACUUGAUUUCAAAUUACAAUGUGUGGCUCUGUUUUGGUCAUCUAUUUGCAACGUACAGCUUCUCCUUGUAAAUUGGGGGUCAGCUUCUCCUUGUAAAUGUGUGGCUCUGUUUUGGUCAUUCUUUCCUUUCAUAAUUCAAUAUCUUGUUUUGGGCACAUGGUAGAAGAUGCAUUUUUGUAAACAGACUUUUUGUAUUUGGUCAGGCUUGCAGUGCUCUAUUUUGUGGAUUUUAAGAUUGUAGUAGGCUUACUUGUGAGCUGCAAAAUGCCUUGUACCAAAGUUUAUGUAUAAAAUGUGUGCUAAAUCUUGUGUGUGGAGUACAAGAAUGAAGGUCUUCCUGGAAAAGCAAUCACAAGCAUUUUCUCUCUUUUCAAUUUGUAGAAAUGUUCAAGUUCUUGCCCAUUACUUGCAGUUGCAGAUAUAUAGUGUUGUGUAGCAUAAAGGCUCCAACAUAUGCAAUUCCAUCAAGGCUUGCAGGCCAAUCACUGCUGUCUCUUGGAUAUUACAAACAUUUGUAGAGCCAUAAUGAAAACUUGAUAGGCUAGCAAGGGGCUUGUGGCUCAAGCGGUUAAGAGCAUCUAUCCCUGCACUCGAGGUCUUAGAUGUGAUUCCCUCCUCCCAAUGUCGCUUGUAACAAAAAACAAAUAAAAAACUUGAUAGGCCCACUACUAGCAACACUGAUAUUGUCCCCAACUUAACCACCUAUAAAGCCCAGUUGGUGUGGGGUUUUAUCACCAAAGGCCUAGGUGAUAUUAGUAGUAGAACCAUUCAUUAUAUAUUGUAUUUUAUUUAAUCAAGUUUCCGAUGUUUGACUCAUUCUUCAACACGCCCCUUCACGUAGGACCACCACAUAGCAGGCCACACCUGGAGCCAAGUCCACAUUAGAGUCAAACAUUCACGCCCAACACGUGAGCACCACGUAUUGGGUAAAGGGUAAGGGUAAACAUUCAAGCCGAACAUGUGAACACCACAUAUUGGGUAAGGAUAGAGACCCAAUUCAGGCUCAGUCAAUCAAACCUGCUCUGAUACCAUGUUAAAUUCAGAGAGACGGGCUAUCUGCCCACUACUAGAAACACUGAUAUUGCCCCCAAUUACAAAGCCCAGUUGGUGUGAGGUUUUAUCACAAAAGGCAUUGGUGAUAUCAGUAGUAGAACCAUUCAUUAUAUAUUUUAUUUUAUUUAAUCAAGUUUCCGAUGUGGGACUCAUUCUUCAACAAUGUCCACCAAUUUUAGCAGAUACCCUUUUGGACAAUGUUGAAUAGAGCACUUAACUUGAUUGUUAAUGACUAGGGCCCCUAAUAACACAGAGAGAGAGAGAGAGAGAGAGAGAGAGAGAAAAGAGAGUUGAAGAAGAAAGACAGAGUAUUUUUAGAGAGAUUUGUAUAUUGAUCUUUUCAUCAUGACUGAUUACAAUAAUGACUCUGUUAUAUACAGAGUUAAUCCUGGAUUCUGUUAUAUACAGAGUUGAAGAAGUAACAUUCGGAUGAUCACCAUUCAAUACAUGGCCUUCCUCCUAAAUGUCAACGUGCAAUAUUGAACUUUGGGUUAAAGUAGCUUGAAUUCCCCCAACAUCAUGACAUUGUAUGACCUUUGUACUGAUGGAGCCUCGAAGCAAAUGAUCGACAAACGUCUAGAUCCAAGAACAAUCAAAUGAGAAUGACAAACAUCUAAAUCCAACUUCCAAGAACAAGCAAAUGAUCAACAAACAUCUAGAUCUAUUUAAUAAUGCAGUCCCCCUCACCUAAGGUCCUAAAAAUGAGGUCAUGUGAGGUCCUCUUUAAAAACGGCCCUUAGAUUAAUCUAACGGCACAUAUCAUAAAUAAUAUUAACCCACACUCAUACUCCUUGUUUUAUUCAAACGCACGUUCAAACGCUUGUCUUCAGCUUCUCGCGAUCUUUUGGCAGCAUCGCCUGCAACUUCUCUAACCUCUUUCUGAAUCUCUUUCUCAAUCUUGUCAAGCGUUUGAACGUAAUGGCCAAAUUUCAUUGUAAAUCAAUUACAUGCCACAGCAUGCCAUGAUAAAAUAAACAGCAGUGAUUGGUGUAGUAAACCCUUUUAAUGGUUCCAAAUAUCUGUCUGGUCUUUCGUAAUCUUUUCUAUGAUGAUAGAAUGCAGCAGGUUUCAAUAUUUUCUGCAUGAUACUUAACAUCUUCAUUAUCAAUGUGAUAAUGUUAUGUUCAUUGCUUUAAAGUGUGGCCAGAGGUUAACAUUUUUGCAUGUUCUCUGCAGGUAUAUGGGUACAAUAGUCGGUAUUAGUGGAGGAAUCUUUAAGCUACUCUGAGCUUUUACUAAGUGAUCUUCAUUAUAAUGAAGGUUCUUUCUGUUUGCUUUAAAUGUUCAACAGUUGAUUCUUCUACAUUCACUUCAUUAACAGGUAGAGUGGGAUGAGCCAGGGUGUUGUGAUAAACAGAACAGGGUUAGCUCAUGGGAAAUUGAGACUCCUGAAAAUCUUUUCAUAUUUCCUUCUCUGACUUCGAGUCUUAAACGACCAUUACACUCUGGAUUCUUGGGAAGUCUGUUAGAUGUUUUUUGGGGUCCUGCAAGGUCGGUCCUCUUUUCCCAAAAUGGCUUCAAACUCAAAAUGAUUCUUCCCAGCUUGAUAUUUCGAAUGUUGGAAUUUCUGAUAUCUUUCCAAAUUGGUUUUGGAGUCAUUUUCGUAACGCAUACCUUAUUAAUCUCUUACAGAACCUAAUCAGAGGAAUAUUUACAAAUUUGACAGUGGAGUUUGCACAUUACCCAGAACUACAUUUGACUUCGAACCAAAUAGAAGGUCCAAUUCCCUCAACUCUAUCACAAGCCUCAUAUCUGGAUAUCUCUAAUAAUAACAUUUCAGGGUCGCUUUCUUUCCUAUGUGCAAGUGCAGAUAUGAGUUUAACAUAUCUUAAUCUUUCAAGCAACAGUUUUUUUGGAGAACUUCCUGUUAUAAAAAAUAAUAGUUUUCCUCUUUCCGUAAAGCCAAAUACAAAACAUUUAUGUUAUAAAUAACAUAUAAACAAAUUGGAAAGCUUUGAAGGUAUAAUGAAAUUGAAGAAAACAAAAUAAUAGGUAAGUAAAAGGAAAAUUAAUAAUAAGUAAGAAGGUGAGUUUGGUACGGUGAAGCACGUCAAAGACGCUGUCCUAAAGCCUUUGUAGCCUCCCUACGUGCAGGUACUGACGGUCUACAAGACUCCAAGAUACGACCCCUUGUACACAAACUCAAGAUUCGCUAUGAGCACGUUCACAGACAGAUAUAGGUAUCCAAGUCACAUAACCAUUGCCCAAAAUAAUAAUAAUAAUAGUAGAGAAUAUAUGUAAAAGUAGAAAAGGAGAGAAUUAGAAUGUGUAUGUGAUAUUCUGAUAAUGUAUUGUGUGUUAUUGUGUAUAAUUGUGUGUAUUCAAAUGUGAAGGAGGAGUGGCCUUUUAUAGGCAUCCAAAAACAUGUAACCUUCACCAACCAUCAAAGUUCACCAACCAAAAAAUUAAGGCUUUCACCAACCAGAAAUAAAACUUGAAUAUUAAAUAUUUAUAACCCCCACAAUAAAUAAAAUAAAACAAGCAAAAUAAUUAAAUAAAUAAAACGGUUAAAUUUUAAAACCUUUUAAAAUUCCAACACUUCCAAAUUGUUGGAGCCAUUUGGAGACUCUAGUCAUGCUUGAUUUGAGUAACAACGCUUUUUCCGGAAAAAUUCCCAUGACAAUAGGCUCUUUAUUUCAAAUGCAAACUUUGAAAUUAAGAAGCAACCAAUUUGUUGGAGAAUUGCCUUCAUCGUUGAAGAACUGCGCAAGUUUAGAAGUUAUUGAUCUGGGAUACAAUAAAUUAUCAGGACCAAUACCUACAUGGUUAGGUGUGAGCUUCAAGAAUUUGGUUAUCCUGAUGCUUUCCACCAAUCAUUUCAAUGGAAGCAUGCCCUCACAAUUAUGCCUAUAAAGUUUAGAUUUCCUCAUGCCAAAUAGUGUUGAGAUUUUCUAUAUUUAUACACAGUAUGAAUCAGUUACAGAAAUUCAAAAGAGCUGAUAUCAAGGAGGCGUUACACUUGCUAUGAUCAAGGAAAGAUUACAAAAUAAUUACAAGAUUCUUAGGAAGGAGAGACUACAGCUGGUGCUAAUAUCAUGGGUGAUCUGCAGCUGUUACAGCUGCAUUUGUAACAGUUGAAGGUGCAACUAAUACGCCCCCUCAAGUUGAGCGUUCUUGAACUCGCAACUUGUCUCGGAUGAAGGUGAAGCGAGGGGAACUCAAUGGUUUGGUCAUGAUAUCAGCAAGUUGAUCCUUGGUGGAGAUAAAUUUAACACUAAGCUUUCCUGCAGAAACUUGAUCGCGAACAAAAUGAUAAUCGAUCUCUACAUGCUUUGUACGAGCAUGAAAAAUUGGAUUAGCAGAAAGGUAGGUAGCUCCUAAGUUGUCACACCAUAAAACAGGUGAAGUAGAUGUGGAAAAUCCAAGUUCCUGGAGUAAGGAGCGAAGCCAAGUAAUUUCAGUGGAAGUAUUGGCAAUGGCACGAUAUUCCGCCUCAGUGGAGGACCGAGCAACAGUAUUUGCUUUUUGGCUGACCACGAGACCAAGUUACAGCCAAGAUAAAUAGCAAACCCACCAGUUGAGCGGCGAUCAUCUGGACAUCCAGCCCAAUCCGCAUCACAAAAAGCUUGAAUGGCAUGAGAAGAAGAUUUGCUGAGGAAAAGUCCAUGAGAGAUAGUUUUCUUGAGAUACCGAAGAAUUCUCUUGACACUAGCCCAAUGUUCACUGGUGGGAUUGUGCAUAAAUUGACAAACUUUGUUAACAGAGAAGGACAGUUCCGGGCGAGUUAAGGUGACAUAUUGAAGAGCACCAACGAUGCUUCUGUAUUGUUGUGGAUUAGAUAAUGGGUCACCAUCAGAUUUGCUAAGCUUGCUAGAAGAGGCCAUUGGUGUAUCAAUAGGCUUGAUGUCGGCCAAAUGGGAUCGCUUUAGGAGAUCAAUGAUGUAUUUGUGCUGAGAAAGGAUUAAUCCACCAGAAUGUGGUACCACCUCAAUGCCCAAAAAAUAAUGAAGUAGACCAAGAUCUUUCAAAGCAAAUAUGGAGCUAAGAGCAGAGAUGACUUUUCCAAUGGCAGCACUAUUAUUUCCUGUGAUGAUUAUGUCAUCAACAUACACAAGAACAUAAAUAAUCGUAGUUCGAUCAUUAAAAACAAACAAUGAACUAUCCAUCUUAGAGCCAACAAAUUGAAGUUGUAAAAGGGAAGAACUCAAACACUGAAACCAUGCCCGUGGUGCUUGUUUUAAGCCAUAGAGGGACCGAUGAAGUCUACAAACAUGAUGCGGUUGAGAGGAAUCAAGAAAACCCGGUGGUUGAGUCAUGUAAACCUCUUCUUUAAGAUGACCAUGGAGAAAAGCAUUACUUACGUCCAACUGACGAGCUUCCCAACCAUUGCUGACAGCAAGUGACAAAACUGUGCGAAUAGUGGUGGCUUUGACAACGGGACUAAACGUCUCAGUGUAAUCAACUCCCUCCUGUUGAUGAAAUCCCUUUGCAACUAAACGUGCUUUGUACCUAUCAAGUGUACCAUCAGCCUUGCGCUUGACACGAAACACCCACUUACACCCAACAACAUUCAUGGAAGGAUCAUAGGGAACAAGUGACCAGGUGCCAUUCUUUAUGAGGGCAUUCAAUUCUUCAGUCAUUGCAACACGCCAGUGGUGUUGUUUGUUAGCAUCAGAGAAACAAGUUGGCUCAUGUUGGGUGGCAGCUUCAGUCAAAAGUGCAUGAGGAAGAGUGUAUUUGGGAUUGGGGGUUGGUCUCGGGCGAAGAGAGUAUCUAGCAUUUUGACGCCCCUGACUUGGGUUUUCUCCUUGAGUGCCUGCCAAAACUAUAGCUAAUUCCUGACCAUUGGAGUUAGUAACAGUAGGAUCAAUAUUUUCAUGUUGGGAAAGAAUCAUAGAUGAAUUAUCAUUAUGAGAGAUGUUGUGAGGAGAUAAUGCAAGACUUGAAGCUGUAGUGGAAUUUGAAUUUAAAUGCACAUUUGGUGAGCUAGGAGAAGCAUUAGAAUUUAAUGGAGAGGAAAGAGGAGAGGAGGAAUUACCAAAUAAGGACACCCUUGCUGCACGUGCUGAACUUGGGAACUCUAUAGGCAACAAAAAAGGAUCAGAUGAUGGGUCAUUUGGAGCCUGUAAUACAGAAGUUGGAGAAAUAGAAAAUGGAAAGGUGUGUUCAUGAAAACGUGCAUGUCUAGAAAUAUAUAUCCUGCCUGUUUGGGGAUUUAAGCAUCGGUAACCAUGGUGAUUUGGAAUAUAUCCCAAGAAAAUACACGGAAGAGAAUGAAAAUCAAAUUUAUUUUUAUUAUAAGGAAGAAGAUAUGGGAAAACUAAGCAGCCAAAAACUUUGAGAAAACAAUAAUCAGGAGAUUGAUUAAAGAGAACUUGGAAAGGAGAUUGAUCAUGAAGGACUGAAGUAGGCAUUCUAUUUAUCAAAUAAACAGAAGUGUCAAAUGCAAAAUGCCAAUAUUUUUUUGGUACAGAUCCAUGGGCAAGGAGAGUGAGACCUGUCUCUGUAAUAUGACAUAUUUUUCUUUCAGCAUAUCCAUUUUGCUCAUGAGUGUGUGGACAAGCAAUUCGAUGAGUGAUCCCACAUUUUUCAAAGUGAGAAGAGAGCUUACGAUACUCUCCCCCCCAAUCUGAUUGGAAAUUGCGGAUCUUGGUAUUAAACAAGCGUUCUGCUUUGACUUGAAAUUUAAGAAAUAUGUCACACACAUCAGAUUUACGGACUAAAGGGAAAAACCAUACAUAUUUGGAAAAAUCAUCAACAAACAAAACGAAGUAACGAUGUCCUUCAAUGGAUGGAAUUGGGGAAGGCCCCCAUACAUCACUGAAAAUAAGUUCUAAUGGAUGAGAGCUAACAGAAGGAGUGGGAGGUAAAGAAAAUUUAGACAUCUUUCCCAAACAACAAGCAGUACAAGGAGGUAAGUCCUUUGAAAGAGAAGGAAGAUUAUUGCCAUUUAUUACUUGACGAAGAACACGUGGAUGUGGAUGACCCAAGCGUGCAUGCCAACAAGAGAAAUUGGCACGUUCGCUUAAGAAAGCCAUGGGACCGUCAUUUUUAUUGGAGAUGGCAAUGUUACUAAGCUUAUAGAGGCCACCUUCAUUCAGCCCGUGAAGUAGAGGUUUCCCCGUGUGCUGGUCCUUCACAACAAAGAAAGUGGGGUGAAACUCAAAAUAACAAUUAUUAUCUUUGGAGAAUUGAUGAACAGAAAGAAGUUUCUUUGUGAUAUCAGGAACAUGUAAGAUAUGAGAUAGAUUAAAGAACGAGUGGCAUUAGAAAAGGUAGAUGUCCCAACAUGAGAAAUAUUUAGCCCGUUACCAUUACCAACUUUCAAUUGAUCAGGACCAUUGUAGUUAUUAGCGAUGGAGAGAUUGGCAAGAUCCGGAGUGACGUGAUGAGUUGUGCCAGUGUCAGGAAACCAUGCGUUAAAAUCACUAUUUGAAUAUGCUGGAAAGGAUGCAAUGUGAGCAGAAGCAUCAUUAGGCCUAUCAUAGCGAUAUCGACAUGUAGCAGCCAAAUGAUUUGUUCGAUUACAAAUCUGACAUCUUGCUGUAUUUGAAGGAUUUGGUGGGGUUGGGAGUAAUCCACGGUGCUGAGAAUUGGAUCUGGUAUGAAAAGACCUGUGGUUGUUUUGAUGUGAUCUGUUGUUGAAAUUUGAUUGACUUCGAUGAUUGUGGAAAUUUGGAGAUGCUGGAGCCCGAGUGUUAUUGGAAUUUUGGCCUUUGUACACCAUAUUAGCAGAAGGAAGAAUGGUGGAGUAAGUUGCCUGCUCUUGAAGACGAAUUUCAUGACUCACAAGUAGGCUAUGGAGUUCUGAAUAAGAGAUGGGACUGAGUCUGGUAGACAAGGCAGUGACCAUAUCACUGUAAUCGCUGCCUAGAUUGCGGAAGAUAAUAGCAUUGAACUCAUUGGUAUCAAGGGGUUUUCCUGCGGCUGCAAGUUGAUCGGCUAUGAGUUUGGCCUUUUGAAGAUAAGUCGCUACCGGUAGAUCGCCUUUUGAGAAAUUUUGAAGUUGAGUAUGUAACUGAAGGAGUCGGGUAUUCGUAGGAGAUCCAAAAGCUUGUGUGAGAGCUUGCCAGGCUUGAAAGGAGGUGGAGGUGCCUACUAUGUGAGGCAUAACAUCUUCAGUUAAGGAUGCAAUAAUCCAACUACAAAGCAUUUGGUCACGUUUGCGCCAAGAAAUAAACUCUAGGUUGGACUGAGAGGUAUUGCCCGCACCUACUGUAGAUGAUGGUGCAGUGUCAGUUCCAUCAAUGAGACCUUCAAGGUCAUGAGAAAUUAGAAUUGGCUCAAAUUGUGUCUUCCACAAAAGAAAAUUGGUGGGGGUGAGCUUAAGGGAAAGAAAGUGUGAAGGAUUAGGCAUUGGCAUUGUUUGAUUGAGAGUGAGUGUGGAAGUGGGAUUGAUGGUUGUAUCUUGAUUAGGUUGAGAUGCAGCAUCUGAUGUAGCCAUAGGAAUAGAAAAGAAAAGAAAAUAAUAACGAUAGAGAUCAGAAGAUAAGAAAAGGAAUAGGAUCAGUAAAGCUCUGAUACCAUAUAAAGUUUAGAUUUCCUCACACCAAAUAGUGUUGAGAUUUUCUAUAUUUAUACACAGUAUGAAUCAGUUACAGAAAUUCAAAAGAGCUGAUAUCAAGGAGGCGUUACACUUGCUAUGAUCAAGGAAAGAUUACAAAAUAAUUACAAGAUUCUUAGGAAGGAGAGACUACAGCUGGUGCUAAUAUCAUGGGUGAUCUGCAGCUGUUACAGCUGCAUUUGUAACGGUUGAAGGUGCAACUAAUAAUGCCAUCUAACACACAUUCAAAUUAUGAAUUUCUCUAUGAACAUCUCUGGAAGAAUACCCAAAUGCCUCAACAAUUUGACUACUCUGGCUCAAAAAGGAAAUCCAAGUCUAUUCAGCACACAUACUUUUUUUAGAAAUGUGGAUCAUAACUCAAUUGUUAGUACUAAUUACGAGGAUGAUGCAAGCUUCAUAUGGAAAGGAAGAAUGCAGACAUACAAAAGCACUUUGGGCCUUGUGAAGAGAAUUGAUCUCUCAAGCAAUAGAUUAACAGGGAGAUUCCAAGUGAAAUCACUUAUCUUGUUGAGUUGGUUUCUUUAAACCUUUCAAGAAACCGGGAACACAUCUCAUGCAAUUCUACCAGGAAAGUUGAACAACCUAACAAAGUACUUACAAGACAAAAUUAGAUACUGAUUUUUCCGCGGAUCAAUUAAGCCAGUUGAAUUCUACAGGACAGGGAAUCGAAGAUAAAUUAGCUGCAGGGUUUGUUAGUCCCUAUAACCUUGUGAACCAGCUGACAUUUACCAACCAAAACCAAAGUGCAGCGCGACUACAACAAACUAGCCCACGGCCUAUGCAGCCGCCUUUGGAAUCAUUACCACUCCCAACAAACUGAUAUGCCUCAUUCAGAUUUCAAUAGCACAAAUGGUUCGCUUCCAUUCCUAGAUAAUGAUGAAUGCAUAUUUUAUCAGUCUUGUCAACCCUUUGCUGGGACACUAAGGCCUUGUUUGGUAGGCUGGACUAGACUGGUUAGGAUUGGGCUUGGAGUGUUGGACUAGUUCGGCUUGGAUUGGAAUAGACUUUAAUAAGUUGUUUGGUACAUUAAGUUGGGCUUGACUGCACUGGACUAAAGCUCAGUCCGUUGUUUGGUACAAGUAUGGGCUGGACUGCAUUGGACUUCAAACAAAAUUUAUUUUUAAAAUUUAUUAAAAUUAUUUAAUAUCAGAAAUAAUUAUAUUUAAAAUAAAAAAACAUGCAAGCAAAAUUAAAAAUAAGAAAUCACACGAAGAUACCAUAAAAAUAGUCCAAAAAUUCACAAAAUUAGUAAUAACACGAAAAUUCUUUUAAGUACAUUCAAAUGAUCAACAAAUACUUAUGUUAUGUUGCUCUAUUUGCCAUCCACUCAUUACACAUCUCAGUAGCCAAAUUACCCCUUCAUACAGACCAUUGGUCGGAUGCUGCAAUGGUAUCAAUAGUGCCAUGAUCUACAUUAUUCUCAAUGGGGGGAUCAUAAUAAAAUUCUUGCUCCAUUGGAUCUAUAUGACAGUUACUAACAUCAUGGAUGCACACAAACGUUGUUUUUCUGACUCUACUGCAACUAGAGUUGUCACAAUCUUCCUCUUUCUCAUUCGAUACAUGUCUACCCUGCCAUUAACAAUAUUGGCAAGAACAAAAUCAUAAUCUGUGAUGUAAUAAUUCUUGAAACUCAUAAAUCCAAAGCUGAGCAGAAUGCCAAAAUAUAUGAGAUAAUAAACAAAUAUAUUUAUAUGUGUAUGUAUGUCAUCGGAGACCAAUAAUAUUAUUGCGGAGGAUGAUGAACAUAGUUUUAUAUAUUUUAAGUAAAAUCAAAGGAGAAAUUACAUGAUGACGUACCAAUUUCAGAUCCAGCUGCCAACCAAACCAACAUAGAAACGUAUAAAAGUGAUAGAGAGGUCUUAUUAUUUUUGGAAAAUUUUACAAUGUUCCCACAUCUCCGUAAUCUGUAUUUGACAUUGUACAUAGAUAAUAAAAUGAACGACUCAAAUACUUCAUGUGACAAUGAGGUAUGAACUUCAUCACACUUUAUCUCUUUCUGGUUGUAAUAGUCACGAUGCAUUGCACUCCUUGGCUGGUUUAGUCAAUGCUGUUAUACUUCAGAAUUCAGACAGAUUAGAAUCAGAUGUUUGCUUUCUCUCUGCUUGUUAUCAAAUACUUUGUGUGUCUAGUUAUCGUGGUUCUAUGAAAAAACAAUAUAAGAAAAAUGAAUCUUUUCUCUUGUGCUGUUUUUGCUCUCUUCGAUGUUUACUUUCUCUUUGUGCUUGUGCUGAAGAAAUAUGGAGGCUGAAGACGAAAAUAACAGCAAUUUGAUUCCUAACUUGCAUGCUUGUAUAAACCGUUAACUUCAACUUCUGACUCGCAUCCAAAUAAGAAAGCGAAAAUAGAUCCAUUGGAACAUGCAGCUGGUGAGGUGUCAAAGUUACUGCAGAAGUUUUUGGCAAGUCAAAUGCAACUGCAACUGAAAGGAGAGGAGGUCCUUGGAGUGGUUUCAAAGAUACCCAACCUCAGUAGGUUGCAAAUUUUUAAGGUUGGGCGCAUAAUAUUGAGUGGUAACCCAGAAGAAUUCUCUCUACUGAAAUCUCUUCCUGAUGUUGAGAAGAAAUAGUGGAUACUCUUACUUAUUAGUCAAUCUGAAGGUAACUUUCUUGAUAAAAAUUGAGCCAAUAGCUCGGGGGAUAUAAAAUAGGUCUUUGACAUAAAGCCACUUAUCAACAUUUACUUUCUCGCCAUGGUAUCUCUCUCUCUCUCUCUCUCUCUCUCUCUCUCUCUCUCUCUCUCUAACUUAAUUUCUAGUUCUGCAUUUGUCGUUGUUUUAAUUUUAUGCUUUUAACAUGUCAAACCAAUACUUCACUCUGUAUGAUUCCUACUUAAUAUCUAGAUAGAAAAGAGUAUAUAUAUUAUUGCUUUAUCAAUCAUUGAUAUAUAGAGUAGUAUGACUAACAUAUCUUUUUAUUCCUUUUCAUGUAUCAUUCUCUUUAUAUACUUGUUCUUGUCCUUGUUCUUAUUCACACUCACACUUCCAAGCACUACUGCAUAACGUCUUAUGUCGAUUACAAUUAGCUUCAAGAACAUAACUUAUAAUCCAUUCAAGUUUUCUUGUUUUAUGUUUUGAAAGGAGGUUUUAGGUUCAUCUAUGUGGUUAAACUGAGAGGUUUGAACUGAAAUAUCUGAAUUUUAAAUCCUUCUACUCCCAACAUAUUAAAGAGAAAAAAGUACGAACCAGUGAAGAAAGCAAUGAUUGACCUGCAGGCCUUCAUGGAAUUGCAUAUGUUGAAGCCUUUAUAGCCUCCUUAUGGAGAGAAUCUUACUUACAACCAGAGAUAAAAUCCCUUGCGUCUACAACACUAAUCACGUGGAGAUAAAAUCCAUUGUGUCUACAACACUAAUCACGUAAGCAGGUAAACCAAUAUUGUAUUAGCACUCUGAAAUAGUCACCAUUAUCUCAUCUCUCCUUUACACAUACGCAUUCAUUACAUAUUAAACAAUAGAGAAGUGCUAAUACUACUCCUUAAGCUCUUCCAUUUAAGGGAACUUUACCUUUUGAGUCAAAAGACAUUCAUAAGAUUGGAACUAUAAUUUUACAUUUGUUAUGCAAGACCAUGGCUCCUUAUCUUUCCUUGAAAUGUUGGAAAUAGAAAAGUUAAGAGUAGCAAAAACCAGAGCUGAUAUUGGAUUUGAUAUAAGACGGCGAGAUAGCAGUCAAUGAGAAAAAUAAAUUGAAGGAGAACCAAAGAGUGAGGAAAUUGAAGAACUGAAAACAUUUAGACUUUCAGAUCCAAAAGAUUUUGGAAUUUCAUUAUUUUCGUUUUUUUAUAUAAUUAUUUUCUAGUUUACAUUGUUGAAUAUAUAUAAAAAUCGGUUAAAAAUAAGAAGAAUGCUAGCUAUCUUCCCAUGUGUACCUUAUUUUUCUACUUUCUUCAUUCUCAUCUUACUAUAUGGUUUAAUGAACAAAAUUUUGUAAGUUCUUGGUCACCCUUUAAAGAUCAUCACAACAAAAGAGUUAUUGUAGGCCUAAGGUAACAUACCUAGAAUAUACCCUUGGGCCCUAGUCAUUAACAAUCAAGUUAAGUGCUCUGUUCAACAAUGACCAAAAGAGUAUCUGCUAAAAUUGGCGGACAUUUCUUUCCCAACCAAUUGGGACACUAAUAAGCCACUAUCAAGCUGACCAACAAGUUUAAAACCAGGUCCAUCUGGGUUUGGCCUAUCAAGAUUUUUUGUUUGUUUUUGGUUAUUGGGAGGAGGGAAUCACACUUAAGACCUUAAGUGCAGGGAUAUAUGCUCUUAAAAUAGUCAUCAUUCUCUCAUCCUCCUUCACACGUAUGCAAUCAUUGCAUAUUAAAUGGGGUGAAGUGAGGGUGAUGAGUAGAGCUGGGUUUAGGGUUGGUGACAAACAAAAUGAAAUCAGUCAAUGAUGGAGAUAGGUGUCCACAUAAAAAUAUUUUGAUGAACUAGAGAAAUGGCAUUUUUGGGAAGAGUUGGGUGUCCAGAGAAGAGAAUGUUUAGAAUAAAAAUAGAAACCCAUUGAAACACGAGUGUAAACAGAAUUCUUGGUAAUAUGAAAUUUCUCUUUCAUAUUUAAGCAGUUACAUCACAUGAAAAGUUUAAACAUAAAUGAUAUUGUAAGUGCUCUUAAUCACUUGAACCAUGUCCCUCGUCACGAGAAGAGUGUUUAUACAACAAUUGUAUGUAAAAUUUAGGGUAAAUUACUCAAAUAGUUUUCAAACUUAUACCCGAUUUACAUUUUGAUCCCUCAAUUAAAUUAUUUGUUCAAAUGGUCCUUCAACUUUAUAUUAUUUGCUCCAUUGGUCAUACUGUUACAUUCUGUCAAUAUUUCCAUUAAAUAUGAUAACAAAUUGGUUAUUUCGUCCGUCAACUCUCUCUCUCUUCUUCCUCUUCUUCUUCUUCUUCCUCACGGCCUGGUGGUCGGCGUUUCCUUUGCUUGAAUGCCUUGUUCUGUGCUAUAGCACAAGAAUAAGCUGCUCCCGAAGAAGCUGUGGGAAUAAGCGCUCCUUAAAUAGGGAGGAAGCAGACUAACUAAACCCAACGCAACCCAUUCAAAAAAGACUUUCAGCCCUUGGCACAGAAGCUGUGAGAUGCAGAAUAGGAAUCUCUUCUUCUUCUUCCUCCUCCUCCUCCCAAUCUUCCUUCUUUUUUUUUUCUUCUCAUUUUCUUUAAUUUUUUUUUCUAAUUUUCUAUUUAUUUUAACCCAAUUUUUAUUUGUUAAUUAUGAAAAGUCAUAUUUACCUCCAAAUUUGGUUAAAUCUAACAGAGAAUUAGACCGUAGGAUCAAUAGAGCGAAUAAUAUAGAGUUAAUGAACCAUUUCAAUGAAUAAUUUAAUUGAGAGACCAAAAUAUAAAUCGGGUAUAAGUUUAAGUACCAUUUGAGUAAUUUACAGAAAAAUUUAACUUUUUGUUGGACCUAAAUAUUGAAACCCCACAAACUGAAACCACCAAAUAAAGAAUGCCCAAUUGAUACUCCAAUUUUCAUUCAAGUCAACCUUUUUCAGUAACGAAGUUAGUUAGCUUCGCUGGGGCGCCGUUCAAGUUUGAAUGUGCGAACUCAAAGCACCAGCAAGCUUCAGAAUAUAUUAUAACAUAUACAAGCAUUUUAUUCAAUCUAUUAAAAAUAAUAAAAAUCACUUAAUCACUCUCUCCAUGUACUUGAUCACCACUUAGAAUAAGGAUUUGAGCUAAAUCCAUUUUUUUUUUUUUGGCUUCGGUAACGACGAAAAGCUCUACAAACUAUAACCUACUUGUUGUGUAUGCAAAUUUCAGAUAAAUUUAAAAUACGUGCAAUCAGGAGUAGAGUCGAAAUCAAGUCCGAAGAGGCCUUGGCCUCCCACUCCUUUUAUAACUCUUUUUAACAUUUGAAACAAAGUAUAAUAUUAAAUAAAAAAAAUUCACAACUAAGCUAGUGUUGCCCCCCUCUGCAUUAAGUUUUAAGUUGUUACAUAAGGCGGCAUAAAUACAUAAAUCAAGACAUUAAAUUAUAGGUAAAUUAUAGGUAAGAUGGAAAAUAAAUAAAAGUAGGUGAGAGGGCCGUCCUAAUAUAUAUUAUUAGCUAAGAAAAUUGAAUAAACGGGACAGUCCAGGUCAUUGUCAAUAUAAAACAAACAAAGCCAAGCCAACAAUGGAGGGCUGGGCUGUCAUAUUUUGACUGAGAAAACUCUAUACGCAUAUAGAUAUAUGGUUGCCUUUUCAUUAUCAUUAUAUUUGACUGCUCGUGCAGAUUUGGGGAGAGGACUUGCUGAGUGAGACACACAUGCUGUAUUAAAUGAAGCCAAGUUUGUUUGGCUACGGCCCUCUCAAAUAUUGUUUGGCUCCCACCAACUUCCCUACGUUUUUUCUUUUAUAUGCGAUAUUUUAAAUUACUCUUAAGUUAUAUGGAGAAAAAUUCAAAUUCGGAUACUGAAGGAUAGACAUACUACUGGAGUCAACUUGACUAACCUACAUACAUUAUCUACGUAUUUUUCACAUUGACAAUUAUGAAAUAUACAAUAUUUCAUAUUAUUAAUGUAACAGGAAAUACAUAUUCAAAUAAAAAUAUACUCAAUGUAAUAUAAACUGUAUCUCCUUGAACAGGAAAUUAUACAUUAAUUAAUCUGUUAGCCUCGUCAUAUAAAGUGGCUUGGUUGACUCUUUUUCUUUUUUAGGUUAUUAGCUUGGUUGACUUUGAACUGGAAUAACUAUCUACCACGCAUGUUUAUGCAUUGAGAAAAAUCACAGAAUAACUUGAUUUCACUCUUUCUUUGAAUUGGGAAAACAAGAUUUCUUGCUUCAUUUUUGCUUCUCUUUUUCAAAUGUGUCUACACUUGGGUGUAGUACUUGUUUACCAAAUAAAAUCUUGGCAGUACUUGGAAAAAAUAUUUGGCAGUAACAUACUCUUCAAACUCGAUCACUUGAUUACUUUUCUAUUAAUUAUUUGCAUUUACAGCUCUUUCUUUUCUUCCAAUAAUGGCGCACAAUGUUAGAUCUUUUAUAGUGAAAAUUAGGUUGAAGAGUGAGAAAGUGAUUUCUAAAUUUUCAGAGCGAGAGAAGUGAUCACAGUUUUGAUAUAUUGGAGUCUAUUUUUACUGGAGCUGAUUUUGUUGAUGUGCCUUACCUUAUCAACACUCAGGGUAGAUUCCUGAUAAAUAAUAUUGUUACUCUUGCACUUUUAGAAAUUUCGUGUAUAGUUUCGAGAAAUAGUACUAGAGAAACUAACUUUUCAGAUACAUCAACUGAUGUGGCAGUGUUUCAUUUGUUUCAUGUUUAAGUUCACUUUGGAACUUAUUUAUUCACAGCAAAUAAGAUAUUAUCAUAUAUUAAUUGAUACUUAAAAGGUGGCCUCUCUAGUACUACUCUGGAAAACAACACAUAAAAUAAGAUUAAGAAAUUGGUGUCUUCACAAAAGAAAACUAAUAUUGCACAAAAUGGGUCAAUUUCCAAAUCACCUUCACCAACCUACCAACCUUGAAUUAUUCCUUAUUGACACACUCACUGAAAACAAAAUAUGUAGAAUGUGCUAGUAACAAAUAUUGUUUUUCAUACAUUAGUCCACAUCUGAUUGCAGAAUUCUCAGCAAUAAAACCAUCUGCCCCAAUUAAAAGCAUCAAUUUUGUUUGGUAUAUGCCCGAAAGCCAUGAGCAAAGAAUAAUGUCAAAGAUUCUACUAUUUGUGCAAGGAAAACAGCCAAGACAAAGCCCAUGUAAUUUUUAAAUAUAAUCGCCACAAACUCUCCUCAACCAUGGAAAGUUGAGUCGAAGUGGAUGCAUGAGACAUGCUUUUUCUUGUUAAAAAUCCUAUACAUAUGUACACCGUACUUUUGGACUCAUUAUACAGUAGACUACUGUAUACUGUAUUUCUAUACUUUGCUAAGAGUUUGAUUCUUUUCCUCCCCUUCUCUUCAAUGGAAAAUCAUCUCUAGUUCUUUUUCAUCCCUAACAACAUACAGGGUUGGACUGCUGAGUUCAUAACUUUUCUAUUGUUUAUCAAACUUUUCUGAGUUCAUAAUUAUUGAAUUACAAAACGUAAAUGGCAAGAAUCAAACUAUAUGGACUAAAAUGAAACUCUGAAUUCUGCACCCGAUAUCUUAAGUUUGAUUCUCCCCAUCUCUAAUAUUACUUGUACAGAAAAAACAAAUAAAUUUAUUUAAAUAAUUUAUCAUGUAACAAAAGAGAUGAAGUCGGAGAAAACAAAAUCAAAAAAGUUCCAAAGUCCCCCCAAUCUUUCUUCGAGUGUGUAUUUGAUUUGAUGGAGUACCUGUUGAGUGUGUAUUUGAUUUGAUGCUUUGGUAGCUUGCGUCUCAUGUUGCUUAUAUUACUGGAAAUAUAACAAGCUAACAAAAAAUGUUAAAAACGAGAAAGGCAAGUCCCAUUUAGAAACAACAAAACGAAAAAAGAAAAAAAAAACUUAAUUAAGCAUGCAUUAGGCGUGGGGUAUGUUUGUCCCCGUAUUUAGCCUACGUUAUUGUUGAGAGUAUUAUUCCACAUCACAAAUAAAAGUACCGUCUUAUAAAAUGAAUAAGAAAAACAUGAGUGGUAAAAAUGAAGAAGGCUACACAUUUAUCAUUUAUCUUCUCACUACUAUCUUAUUUUUCUUAUGCACUUUUAAUUAUAAAAAAGAACAUUAAAACAUUUAUAAAUGACUUUGAAUCAUUACAAGGCUGAUUGCAGCAACAAUUGCUAAGAACAAUCCAUCACUCUCCAAACUAAUACAGAUUAUCAACUUGUACAAAUAGCGCUCAAUCGCUGAAAAUUAACAAAUUAGCAUUACGUUAACUACUUUAUUUGGUUAAUUACACAUUGUAAUUCAAUAAGCCGAAUCGAGAUUAGCCACUUUAGGAUUUACUUUUUAAAUAGCCAUGUUUGGUUAAGAGGCGACAGAAGAUAGCUACCACUUUUUCUCUCUCGUUGGUUUGCUUGGUUUUCAUUUAGAAUUUUGAUAUUUGUUGCUACUUCAAAAUAAUAAAAAAUAAAAAAUAUUGUAACGGAAAAAAGAAUAAUAAUAAAAUAUUUAUUGUAAGUCAAAACAUAAAAACAAUUUGAGUCUCGGCAAUUGUAACACCUGAUGGCUAACAAAUUUAGUUUCGUGAGCGAGAAUUAAUCGAGGUGUGCGCAAACUGACCCGGACACCUUAUGGUAUUUAUCCAAAAGAAAAAAACAUAAAAACAAUGUUAGAACAAUAGCAUGAUGAAAAAGUUGUUACCCAGAACAACAUCAUUUUGUUGGAUUGAAAUUCAGUUAAAAUUUGGUGAGCCAUUAAUUAUCAUUAAAAAAAAAAAAUUUAAUAAAUCGAAGUAAAAAUUGAAGUCCAAGUCCAACAACUAUGGCGUCUUCCUAUGACAGCCUGAAUUUUUAGACAGCGCCGAGGUGGGCCCCGUCACGGGACGCCUUCAAAAUUUUCAACUUUGAACAAUAAAUCCCACCAUUUGGCCUCUUCCUCCACUCUCUCUACUAUAUAAAACUCCUAAUACCAACUCUCGUUUUGCUCUCACCCUCAGAUUCAUAUUGUUCGUUAGAUCUCUCUCUAUUUUUUCCCGGAAAAUUUUAGCGCUUUCCUGGAAAAUCUUCGUUUUCCUGGCGGCUUUUUGAGAAACCAAGUGGGCGUCGUGGAAAUGGCCGAAGAGUCGCAGAAAUGGGUGCUGAUGGUGACGGCGCAGACGCCCACCAACAUCGCCGUGAUCAAGUACUGGGGGAAGAGGGACGAGACGCUCAUAUUGCCGGUCAAUGACAGCAUCAGCGUGACGCUUGAUCCGGAGCACCUCUGCACCACCACUACUGUCUCCGUCAGUCCCUCCUUUGACCAGGAUCGGAUGUGGCUCAAUGGAAAGGUAAAAGCUUUUUGUUUGUUUACGUCUUCUCAGUAGUCUCUUUGUGUUUGCUUCCCGGGAAAAUGCAUGGGAAACAAAGGAUUUGAAGGUCUUUAUUUGCUGUUAGCUUUGACAUAAACUUGGUGGGUCCCCAUUGGAAGGCAAAAAAACUUUUGGGUUCUAAGUUUUUGCCCAUUUGGUUGGCAAGAAAAAGUAGAAAUGGAAAGGAAAUUGAAAAUUUAUAGUAGCUGUAUCACUAGUAUUGAGCUUUUGAAAUUGGCUCUGUUGCUUUUGCCACAGAAUUCUCAGAGGUUUAAUAUUUGCUUCUCCAAACACCAUGAUCGUUUCGGGAUUUCACUGAUCCGUGGCUCUUUUUUUAUUUUUCCGGUUAGUGUAGGAGAUUUCUCUUUCUGGAGGCAGAUUCCAGAGCUGUUUAAGGGAAAUUCGUAGUCGAGCUACCGAUGUUCAUGAUAAGGAAAAGGGAAUCAAGAUUACUAAGAAGGAUUGGGAGAAAUUGAAUGUACAUAUUGCUUCAUACAACAAUUUUCCUACUGCUGCUGGAUUGGCUUCCUCGGCAGCUGGUUUUGCUUGUCUUGGUAACGGAUAAUACUGAUCAUAUUAUUGUUAAUUUGUUACAUGAUUAGUGCCUUAAGUUUGAGAACACAUGACUGUGUUAAUAAUGUUACUUGGGUACUGGAUUAAUCAUUCUUUGUCAAUAAAUAGUAAUUAAGCAAUGAGCAUAUCAUAGCUAAGCCUCCGUUUCUACUUGCAGUUUUUGCCCUCGCAAAGUUAAUGAAUGCGAAUGAAGAUCACAGCCAGCUUUCUGCUAUUGCAAGGUAGUUUAAUAGUUCUUCAAUUAUCUCAUUUUCAGGUUGCCUGUAUCUUGCUUCAAUUAUAAUGAUUCCAAUUGUGAAUGCCUUGUGCUUCAUUUUCAUUGCUUGAAUGUGGCUGCUGUUCAUGGAAUUUUUAAGUCAUGAUAAGUAUCAGAGUUAUUAUGUUUGCUACUAUAUGGACCUCAUGGUAAUGGAUUUCACUAUGUGUGUUUUUAAGUUCAUCUUAGUAGUUGUGUUAUAAAUCCCUUUUCUUCUGUAUUCACAUUAUAGAGAUUCAAGUAUUGUAGUUGGUGAUGAUAAUUCUCUAAAUUUGUUUGUUCAUACAGGCGAGGUUCGGGCAGUGCUUGUCGCAGUUUGUAUGGGGGAUUUGUCAAGUGGAUCAUGGGAAAAGUAAGUUUAGUUCUUUUAUGGUUAUUGUUAUGUCCUCUGUUAAAAACCAAGUUAUUCUAUUCAGUCUUUAGUGCUGAUUCUUGGUAUCAUUAUCUAUUAAGGAUGAGAAGGGAACCGACAGUCUUGCAGUUCAACUUGCGGACGAGAAGCACUGGGAUGAGCUUGUCAUUGUUAUUGCUGUGGUAUGUAAUAUAUGUUCUAUGCAUUCUGUCAAAUGAUUUUAUUGGCAAAUUUUGGCCUGUGGAUAUGACUUUCUUUUCUUGUCAUCUUGUGCUCGGUUGUUUUUGAAAGAUUUUCCCUAGGGUCUUUUGAAUUUUCGACUUUCCAUCUCUGAGUUGGCCAUGCAUUUCAUUCUCUUCUUUUUAAAAUAUAAUUUUUUGGGUAGUUUGAUGGUUUGACGUUAUUUCUAUUCGUGAUAUGCAUCUUUCUGGUUUUGUAGUAUCAACCAUAUUAUCUUAAAUGUGUUUUCUGGUCAGUAUCAAUGGCACGAUGAUACUUUUCAGUUUUGCAAAAUACUACCUUUGAAUAUUAUAUUAUAUUUAUUUAAAAAAAAUUAUCCCCGUUCAGUUGCACAAAGAGUUAGGAAGAUAUUAAGUAGUCAAGAUUAAAAAAAAAAAUAGUAAGAAUUAAAAGUUUGAUUUAAUGUAUUUAAUUUGAGAGUUGCUACUAUUAAAAAGAAUAAUUUUUAUAAAGUCGAGUUUAUUUUUUGCAAGUCAUGUUAGUGCAUGUUUUGUUGUCAUGAGGUGGAUUUGGUGGAAUGGAAACAUAAUUUGGCAGUUGUACCCAGCCCAAAAAUUUAUAUGAUGGGUGUUUAUAAUGACUGCACAUGCUUAUUUUGGAACGUUGAGGUGCCGCAAUUUGUAUAGAAUCCUGACAGAAGCCAAAGAUGUAUUCUGAAUGUCUGAUUAGGUUUAUCACCCUAUACCCUAAGUUAUUCAAAUCUUGAUUUUGUUUAUUCCAGGUAAGUUCACAGCAGAAGGAAACGAGUAGCACUACAGGAAUGCGUGAUACUGUUGAAACAAGUUUGCUCUUACAACAUAGAGCGAAGGUACAUUCUCCAUUGUCCUUUCACUGCCUAGUUUAAAUGCUAGGAAUUUUACGAACUGAACUUUAAUCCAUAAAUUCUAUAAUUUUGAAUUAUUUGUACCUUCAAGCUCCCUCAUUUUAGUGCACCGUUAAUAGAAAAACACGGUGUCUUAUUCUUUUAGGUCAUCUGCUGUCACUUAUUUUGGUGGGGUCAUUUAACCCUGAUCUAACUUGUAUAUUUCUGUUUGUCUUUUUAUACUGUUACAGGAAGUGGUACCCAAACGCAUAUUAAAAAUGGAAGAAGCUAUAAAAAAUCGUGAUUUUGCUUCUUUUGCACAACUGGCCUGUACUGACAGUAACCAGUUUCAUGCUGUUUGCCUCGACACAUGUCCCCCCAUAUUCUACAUGAAUGAUACAUCCCACAGGCAAGCCUCUUUUUUGCAUUUGUGUUACUUGAAAAGCUCAGCGGUUACAGUAAUUCAUUUAUGUUUUCAUUGAGGUGCGGAACUAGAAACUUGGAAUUCAAUAUUGAUGAAGUAACUAUGUUUCAGGAUAAUCAGCCUUGUUGAAAAGUGGAACCGUGCAGCAGGAACGCCUCAGGUUAGGAAACUAAAUUAUUUUUAACGAGUAUAAAAUACUGAUUGCUGCUCUUUGUAGCAUGAUAAUGUUAAAAAACGGUGAUCUUAAAUUUCUAAGAUUGCUAGUGCUCUGUGAGCAGUCAUAUCUUGAAUUUGGUAUGUCUGAUUGUAUUUUCAGUAGAAGUCCUUCAGCAUAAAAAGAUUAACCUAGUUAAAGCUUCAAUUUUGCAUGUUUUCUUCAUAUAAUGUCUCAACUGAAGCAAAUUGCACAUCCUCAACAGAAGCAAGCUGUAAAGAAUUUCCGAAGAUGUAACUAAUAAAUUUACAAAUUAUUAGUGGAAAAGAAAACUUUUGGCAUUAGCGUUUCAAGUAAUUUGGUUCAGACUUUGUUCUCAUAAUAAACGUUAUUGCUCAAACCAUGCUUGGAAGUUUCCCUGGGGAUAUACCUUUCCUGAAUGGCAAUAUUAUAACAUGUUAGUAAAAGUACUAAAUUUCGGUUGUGACUCUUAAAGGCUUCAGAAAUACUAAUCUGAACCUGCUUAUCUCAUGUGGCACUAAUCUUACUUUAUGUUUAGCUUAUGGCAUCCGUCUGCUACUAAAUAUUAUUUGGGAAAAUAUUUUAUACUCUAUAAGCUUAUUUGAGUUGCAUACUGUUCAUACUAUUUUUUUGAGUAGUUGAAAAUAUUUUAAUAACUGACAGGUGGCGUAUACAUUUGAUGCGGGGCCGAAUGCGGUUCUAAUCGCACGUAACCGAGAAACAGCUGCCCUUUUGGUUCAGAAGCUGCUAUUCUGCUUUCCUCCAAAAUCUGAUGCAGAUUUGAACAGGUAAUAUUUGUGGGCUUUCAUAUGACAUUUCCUCAAGCUUAAGAGAUUCUUAUUUCUGUGUGGUUUCCGCAUCAAUGAUUUUUCUGAUGGCACCAACCUCGCUCCCCCUUGUGUGUGUGGCUUUCUCUUUUAAAUUUUUUCUUAAUUCUUUUCACAGUUUCGUUCUUGGUGAUAAGUCCAUUCUGAAAGAUGCUGGGGUUGAGAGCCUGGAGGCCAUCGAAAGUUUGCCUGCACCUCCAGAAAUCAAGGAUCCAUCCCAGAGGCACAGAGGAGAUGUUAGUUACUUUAUUUGCACAAGACCUGGGAGAGGUCCAGUUGUGCUGUCAGAUGAAAGUCAAUUUCUUCUCAACCCUGAAACUGGGUUGCCAAAGUAAGCUGAGAAGAUUUCUCUUUCUUUCACGGUGUUCUGUUGUUUCUCAGGACGACUCAAAUGGUUGUAUGAGCCUGAAUAGUUCUUUCAGAUGAUCCUUUUAAGCUGGACCCAAGAAUUGCCAUAAAAUGAUUAUCCGAGUUCAUCUCAGUUAAGACAGUUUCUGUUGCUUGUUUCAUGUAUCUUUAACUUACUUUUUGCUCUUUUAAUCCAAUUAUGGUCUUUGUG